rnacentral:sRNA from 1 species
UGACAAAACCAGCCUGCUUUUGGGGAAUC